GACGAACGCUGGCGGCGUGCUUAACACAUGCAAGUCGAACGGAAAGGUCUCUUCGGAGACACUCGAUUGGCGAACGGGUGAGUAACACGUGGGUGAUCUGCCCUGCACUUCGGGAUAAGCCUGGGAAACUGGGUCUAAUACCGGAUAGGACCAAGAGAUGCAUGUCUUUUGGUGGAAAGCUUUUGCGGUGUGGGAUGGGC
rnacentral:rRNA from 1 species